UAAGAGUUUCUCCACUGUACGCAGUUUCCUCUGGGUGAAUCACAGCACCAUAAGCAAACUCACACCAGUCUUGAAGAAAUAUCUGAGAAUCUCCACUAAGGAAUACAAUCUUGCCGCCUUCUUGAUUUUGACCCUGUGAGACCUGGAGCUAAGAAAUAAAUCCAGCUCUGGACUUCUGACCUACAGAACUGUGAGAUGAUAAAUUUAUGCAGUGUGAAGCCCUAAAGCUUAUGUAGAAAAGUGUAAACUAUCCAUGCCAGUAUGCUUAAGGAAAGAGUAGAAUGCUAACACAUACUCCCUCUCUCUCUCCCCACAAAAAAAACAACAAAAAAAGCAGUGCACAGAGCUAUACACAGACAUUUCUGUAACUAGAUAAAAUGUAGAAAAACAAAUAUGAAAAGAAAAAAAUGUGUUAAGUUCUAGAAUCGGAGGUCUUUUAAAUGACUAUUUGCAAUUAUUAGUUUAUUACUGUUGCAUUGUGCCUUCAUUAUAAGUGUAAAUAGCAGUACAAUAUAGAUAUAAUAAAAAUAUUAAAAGAAAGGUUUUUCCUGAAGCAGUCCCUUUGAUGAGUGUUUGUCUUCCCAAGGUUAGACGCCCUCCUGUGGAGAAAUGUGAGGCUGCCUCACACACGUCCGGGUAAACUUGUUUGUACCCCACCUCCUACAUUGUCCGACCGUCCACAGCUGCUGUCAUGUGAUUCCUGACACAGAUUUAUUCCUUGUUCCAAUUUUAUGACCACUUCUUCACUUUGUCCAUGAAACAGGUAAUUCAGUACUAGUGUGGCUUGAAGAAUAGUCAUUUUUAUGAUCUUGCGCCUCAACUUCGGUGAUUAGACUCAUGAUGUUUGUUCCUGGAAUAUUACCCUUCCAGAAGGCAGUUCAAAAAACAAGAACUGUAGAAACUGGAACAACAUAGUGGCUGAUUUGGAGCCCUUCUCUUGGGACAUAAUACUUAUAGGAUGGAGUAUUCCCCUGCAUGGCGCACUGCACCCUAUAUAGCCGUGGAGCUAUGGAGUUUAAAUGGGUUUAGUGCUUUGACUACAAGAGGGCCCUCAUAAAAAUGGUACCCGAGGAUGCCUAGCAAUUGAACAAUGUACCUACCAUCUUAAAGAGGAGAUUGUUCAUGAACUAACAUGAGAAAUCCACUGAGAACUCCUAGGAGAGCUGGGAUUCCGAAGAAGCUGACAUCCUUCAUGGGUAGGUGGAA